rnacentral:sRNA from 1 species
AACUAAACCUGAUAGAAACGAAAAUACUUUUGUACUCAAAACGAGAAAGAUUGCUGUAUCGUUUCUCCUCGAAAUGACGAUGAAUGGAUGAAAAGGCAGAAGUUAAAAAGAUUGAAGUGGAUAGCAGGACUGAAA